AUGCAACUAAUUGGCAGCAGAUUCCUCUCUGCUGCCAACACGGUGCUUAGAGGAACUUGCGUCGCUCCCACACACACAGCAGACAGGAUUUCCAACACGAACAGAUCAGCCAAGGAUUGUAGCAGAAGAGUAGACCCAGUUCCUUUCCGUGGUUCAAAGCCAGAAGUAGACGUUUGUAGUUUCCAAGUCCAGAAGGGGGAAGACAAGCCGUGGUCAGUUCAAUCCGAGUUUUCAAAGCAGGAGAUGGCGUCCGUCAAGAAGACGACGGAAGGUCAAGGUCUCAGCACAGGAAAACACACCAGUCUUCAGGAAAGCGUCCCACACAGAUCCCAAGCGUUUGUCCAGAUUACCUUGCCCAACGCAAUUUGCAAUUGCUCCCAAGCCCCAUUUUAUGCCAGUUACAAAUCCUCAUCACUGUCAGCUGUCCUCCUUAACCCGGGCGUUUGUCCAGAUUACCUUGCCCAACGCAAUUUGCAAUUGCUCCCAAGCCCCAUUUUAUGCCAGUUACAAAUCCUCAUCACUGUCAGCUGUCCUCCUUAACCCGGGCGUUUCCUCAUCACUUUCCUCAUCAGAGCUGGAACACCUCUGACUACGCCCCACAGCAUCUCCAGCUGUGGAUCCCGUCCCAUCCCUCCAGCUAAGCCAUGGGUCUAAUCCUGAAAGUCCCCAUUCAUCUUCUAUCCUAUCAUGACCAGUGGCACCCAAUUCCUCCCUUACCCGAGUCCAAUCCAUCUCAUCCUCCUCCGAGCUAACCAGCCCCUCCUCCAUUCUCUCCGUAAACCCCUCAAAAGACUCUUCGUCAGAUGGUGCUGCAAAAAUGUCUCGCAGUCUUUUUCUUUCUCGCUCCUCGAGAGUAUCUGACUCUCGAGGAGUCUUACGCCCACGUCUGUCAGUAACAGAGCCAUGAGGCUCAAUCAUAACAGGUAGGUGGGUCCCAAACCGUUUAGGGCUUUAUAUGUGAUGGUCUGCACCUUGAAUUGGGACUGGAAAAUAAAUAUAUCUCUGACUUUUGGCUUGAAUUUGGACUCCUGGGCAACUUCCUUUUUGAUUUAGCUCAGAACAGUUUGUGUCACUUGACGUAGGACAGUGGUUCUCAACCUGGGGUCCCCAGAUGUUUUUGGCCUUCAACUCUCAGAAAUCCUAACAGCUGGUAAACUGGCUGGGAUUUCUGAGAGUUGUAGGCCAAAAACAUCUGGGCCAAAAACGAUUUAGGACCAUCUGGACUGCUCUUCUGUAUCUAUGGACACUAGUCUUAGUUUUGGGACCAGCCUGGCCUUUUCCUUGCCAGUCUCUGUGGAUACACUCUUGGGCCCUUGCCAGCUUUAAAACAGAACACUCUAAUGAGAACAACCAACACCUUAAAUUAGAUUUGGAUGCAAACUGGGAACCAGUGCAGAUGUUAGAAGAUCAGUGCUGUACAGAGCACAAACCAGAAAGAAAUCUGCCUGCCAUAUUUUGCACUAACUGUAAAACUGGAACACUUUUCAAAGGCAGCUACAGGUGAAAAGCACUGCAGUAAUCUAAGUGGACAGUGCUUACAGCAUGAAAGCAUUGAACCUCAAAUUAAUUCCAUCUUUGUCACCACCCCAAAAACUAUUUAUACUUUCUUCACACACACAGGGUGGUGGUAGAAGGAGGUUUGUAAUCUCUUGAUGGAUUUUACCUUCCAAACACUCUGAAGACAUCUAGAGCCAUUAGCACUUAUUGAAUAAAUCCUUACCAACUUUUCUGAACUGUUUAUUGUCAGAAUGUAUACAUUACUCAGCAUUUCUUGAAGUGCUAACAGAAUCAAUAUCUAAGAAUUAACCACAGGUGUCAGUUUAAUUGGGGUGUGGUAGCAGAGUGCUGAGUCUGUUGCACAUAAGUUUGUAGUCACCUGAUGAGGCUUUAAUGACAGUUGGAGGUUGGUGGAUAAAGAUAGGAGAGAGAGAGAGCAUUUGUACAUACUGUAAUACUGUGCUAGUAUUUGUAUCAUUACUGCAACUUAAGAAAGAAAAGCCUCGCAGUUGGAACAAAAAGCUUUGUUUUUGUUAUGUAUUGUUUUUGUUUCUGAGGAGACCACUUCACUGCAAUACGGUAUUUGGCUUCCUACCAGGAGUGGAGAGCCUCUUCCACUGUACAACAAGGAAUAUCAUGCUGAUUUGAACCCCUGACAUCUAUAAACUGGCAUCAAUAAGCUGGCAUCAGGUGUGGAUAGCCAGGAUUCAGAAAACGAUUGCAAAUCAGGACAUACAAAUUUGACGGUGCUUCCUGGGACCAAAAUAGAUAAAAGUGUUAUGAAUGAUAGAGUUAAUACCAUGUGACAGUUUGCCAGAAGUCCUAUAGCAUUAUAAUGAAUUACAGAGUAACUAUUUUUCCCCUCAUUUCAAGGGAGAGACACAUAAUUACUAAUAUUUCUGUUAGUAAUUGUCACAGAAAUGUCACACUUACACUCCAAUAAAAAUCAAUGAAAAUGUUGGAGAGCCCAGAGAGAUAAUAACAAUAGGGGCCUUAUCGCAUUUGGCACUGGAACCGCCACGGAUAGUGGUGAACCCGGUGGGGGACGAGGGAACCCGUCACUCCAUGUUCCCAUUACACAGCUUUAAUAAUAAUAAUAAUAAUAAUAAUAAUAAUAAUAAUAAUCUUUAUUUUUGUAUCCUGCCUCCAUCUCCCUUAGGGGACUCAGGGCGGCUCACAUGAGGCAAGGCCCAACAACACAAUUAAAAUGUAGAUUACAUAAAAAUGCAAUUCACAGUGUAAACAGAAUAAAAACAACAACAUUAUAAAAAUAAAUAGUAACAUCAGUCAGCAACCAAACAACAUGUUGUCGAAGGCUUUCAUGGCCAGAAUCACAGGGUUGUUGUAUGUCUUUUCGGGCUGUGUGGCCAUGUUCCAGAAAGCAUUCUCUCCUGAUGUUUCGCCCACAUCUAUGG
ensembl:lncRNA